rnacentral:lncRNA from 1 species
GCUUGAAUCUAAGCCCUCCUAUUUUCCCAGUCCUGUCGCUAUUCUCAACUGCUGAAGAUGGCGUGUGACUGCCAAGAUGGUCAAAGGUAAACGAUUUGUAAUUUUUAGGCUAAUUGAACGGUCCUGAUUCCAUGGCUAACUCCUGCUAGGUGCUAGGUGUAAAUGCUAUAAGAUCCUUGCAAGCUAAGGAGCAGUCAUUUUCAAUUUCUUACAGAGAAAUGGACAAAGGAAAGUUGCUUAGCUGUUGAAACUUUUUCAGGUUUGAGUACAGUAUUCUGAUCAGAAAACCAGGUAAGCAGCCGAAAGAGAAUCCAAAAAAACAAAUUUAAAAAUGGCUCCUUCUGUAGCAAACAUAUAUGUACUUUAUUAAUUUCCUCUAGAAAGCUAGAA